CCUACGGGAGGCAGCAGUGAGGAAUAUUGGUCAAUGGGCGCGAGCCUGAACCAGCCAAGUCGCGUGAAGGAUGAAUGCCCUACGGGUUGUAAACUUCUUUUAUCAAGGAAUAAAGUGAGGCACGUGUGCCUUUUUGUAUGUACUUUAUGAAUAAGGAUCGGCUAACUCCGUGCCAGCAGCCGCGGUAAUACGGAGGAUCCGAGCGUUAUCCGGAUUUAUUGGGUUUAAAGGGUGCGGAGAUGGGUUGUUAAGUCAGUGGUGAAAGGUUGCGGCUCAACCGGAAAAGUGCAAUUGAUACUGGCAGGCUUGAGUACAGUUGAGGUAGGCGGAAUUCGUGGUGUAGCGGUGAAAUGCGUAGAUAUACGGAAGAACACCAGUGGCGAAGGCAGAUUACUGGACAGUAACUGACGCUGAGGCGCGAAAGCGUGGGUAGCGAACAGGAUUAGAUACCCUUGUAGUC
rnacentral:rRNA from 1 species